GAGGGUAUAGCUCAGUGGUACAGAGCACGCUUAGCACGUGGGAGGUCUUGGGUUCAAUCCCCAGUGCGCCCA
rnacentral:tRNA from 1 species